AACGAACGCUGGCGGCAGGCUUAACACAUGCAAGUCGAGCGAAGACUUCGGUCUUAGCGGCGGACGGGUUAGUAACGCGUGGGAACGUGCCCUUCACUACGGAAUAGCCUCGGGAAACUGAGAGUAAUACCGUAUACGCCCUUCGGGGGAAAGAAUUUCGGUGAGGGAUCGGCCCGCGUUAGAUUAGAUAGUUGGUGGGGUAAUGGCCUACCAAGUCUACGAUCUAUAGCUGGUUUGAGAGGAUGAUCAGCAACACUGGGACUGAGACACGGCCCAGACUCCUACGGGAGGCAGCAGUGGGGAAUCUUGGACAAUGGGCGCAAGCCUGAUCCAGCCAUGCCGCGUGAGUGACGAAGGCCUUAGGGUCGUAAAGCUCUUUCAGCUGUGAAGAUAAUGACGGUAGCAGCAGAAGAAACCCCGGCUAACUCCGUG
rnacentral:rRNA from 1 species